rnacentral:rRNA from 1 species
CCUACGGGUGGCAGCAGUCGAGAAUAUUUGACAAUGGGCGCAAGCCUGACGCUGCAACGCCGCGUGAAGGAAUGAAGCUUUCGGGUUUGUAACUUCUUUUCACGUGGGCGAAGCCAGUAACGGUACCUGCGGAAUAAGCAAAGGCUAACUACGUGCCAGCAGCCGCGGUAAUACGUAGGUGGCAAGAAGUAUCCGGAUGUACUGGGUGGAAAGGGCUUGUAGGCGGGACUGCAAGUCAGAUUUGAAAACCACGGGCUCCAACUGUGGCAUGCAUUUGAAAAUGUAGUUCUUGAGUACUGGAGAGGCAGACGGAAUUCCUAGUGUAGCGGGGAAAAGCGUAGAUAUUAGGAGGAACACCAGGGGCGAAGGCGGGCUGCUGGACAGUAACUGAAGCCGAGGCGCGAAAGCGUGGGGAGCAAACAGGAUUAGAAACCCGGGUAGUU